AAGUCGUAACAAGGUUUCCGUAGGUGAACCUGCGGAAGGAUCAUUAUUGAUGUUUUUGGAUAUGAAAGAUUGUGAAAUGGUGAGCAGGGGGUGGAGCAAGGGGAGAUUCCAUGCAGAAUGCAGGGGGAGAACCCAUGAUGCAUACACACACACGCACACACACAAGAACGAUUAUGGGGAUGUAGAAAAGAAAAAAAAGUGGUUUUGAUUGAUUGAUAAACCACAAAAAACAAAAACAAAUACAACUUUUAACAAUGGAUCUCUAGGCUCUU
rnacentral:misc_RNA from 1 species